rnacentral:lncRNA from 1 species
AGUAGUGCUAUGUGACGAUCUUAAUGCGGUCGAAAGCCAAUGAUAGUGCAUUAAACUAUUGAAGAACAGAUGGCAUAGGACCAACAUUGUGUCUGGUGUGGAAUUUGUCUGGAAACAAUGUUUCCCCUGCUUCUUGAAUGGACAUUAAAUGUCUACAUUUGCAUGAUACCGGUUGGAGCCCAAGGUUUUCUGGAAGUAAUCUCUUCAGCCUGGUUGUAGGAAGGAGAUGGAAGUACAGACCACGGAGGAGACGGAUUGCCUUAAAAUGUGUACAAGACUGAUAACAGGCCAACGUCCAAUAUGACUUUGUUGAAUGGAAG